CUCCCGUUUCGCUUCAGUGACUUAUCGUCUGUUCAAGCUUCCUUCGAAUGCAAAUGUUGUACCAACACAAGUCACCUACAAAGGGACUACCCCAGACCACGAGGAAAAAUGCAAAUUUGAUGUUAAAAAUGUAUUUAAGAAAGGAGAAGCCGUUAUAGUAACAGGACAAGUGGCCGCGUCCUUGAAAUGUUCUCGAUUCGCAGACGACUUUGUGUACGAGCCAGUUCCGGAGGAUUUUGAAGGAAUAUGUGAGGUGGAUUUAGAAAACCCGUUCGACUACUUGGAUAAUCAACCUUAGAAUGGUUAGAAAGAGCAAGCCUCAUGUUUAGUGGGAUAUAUCAAGGGCUGUGGAGUUCUGUUUACUGAUGAAGAAAAAUAAAUGAUUCUCAAUUGUUAUGAUACAAAGCUUAAGAACAUGUUAAGACUUUCCAUGCAAGCAUUUAAGCGUCAA